rnacentral:lncRNA from 1 species
GCAUAUCUGUAAUACCAGCAUUUGGGAGGUAGGAGCAGAAGGAUCAAGAGUUUAAGGUGUCUGAGGCUAGCCUGUGCUACAUGAAAGCCUGCCUCAAAAAAAAAAAAAAAAAAAAAAAAAAAAAAAAGCUGGGUGUGGUGGAGCAUGUUUUUAAUCCCAGUACCCCAGAGACAGAGGCAGACAGAUAUUUAUGAAUUUGAGGCCAGCCUGGUCUACAAAAUAAGUUCAAAAGCAGCCAGGGAUGUUACACAGAAAAACCCUGUCUGGAAAAAAAAAAAAAAGCAGCCUACUGUCCAUGCCCGGGAGUUAAAAGAUUGGAUUGGAGAAGACAGAUGCACAAGUUGUAACAGCCAGUGUGGCCAGUGUCAGGACACAGAAGCUGUGAGGCUUCUGGAAGACCAGAGGAGAAUCCCAGCUGGUGUGAGAAUCCCCAAAGUUCACACACCCCCUGCCCCGGAAGGGUUGGGGACAGGGCAAAAGCACAUGGAAGUUUCCAGGUGCUGAGGUGUGGGCCUCAGGUCAAGGUGUUAACAGUCACAGACUGUCCAGUUCCUUGGGCUGUGCGUGUUUGGUCUACCCGAGUCUAAUUACCUCCAGGUUUCUGUCCCCAGCUAUUCCAAUAACCCACCAAUUUAAGUCCGUGGCAAUCAAUUCCAAGCAGGAGAGGAUAAUUGACUCUUAACGUGUGCGGACAUUUCCUGAUUGUGAGAGAACAGAGUCUUCUGGAGGUGCAGCGGGUUCCUUUCUAGCCACCCUGCUGCCCUGUCCUCUCACGUUAGCCAGCUCCUAUACCAACAUCUGGAUAGGCGAUGCACGUCUCUGAUGUCCAUCGUAGUCCCAUGGUGACCAGGUGAGCAGUUUUGAACCGAGGCAGGAGGAUUGCACUCAAACGUGAGCUCCUGUGUGUGGCCCUCAUCCUUGACGCCCUGAGAUGAAGCACAGGUCUUCCUUCCUUCCUGAACUCCACUUUCCUGCCAAUGACAAGGGUGAUCAGCUGCAAACACAGCCCAGGCCUCUUCCUGCUUUGCUGCUCUGCAACUGGACACGUGCUUUGCUCAGUCUGAGGCUCUGAGGGGUCUGGACGCUAGAAUGGACCCUGGAAACAAGAGCCCUGGGUAGGAUUCU